AAAAACCACUCCUGUGGUUUCAUAGUUUCUCACUUUGCCCCCCUGUGGUUUAAAAUGUAUCAAAUUGCCCCCCUGUGAUUUUGUUUUUAUCUUUUCGAUAGCUUUUUAGUUAAUAUUUCAUUAAAUUAGAUACAAAAAACUUCAAUUACCCAUCUAGAUUUAUCAAAUAUUCACUUUAGUACCCUUUAAUUUUAACUUUAUCACUGAUUUAAGGCAAAAAAAAUAAUGAAAUUGAUAUGAAAAAGAGAAAAAAGAAACCAUAGAGGGGCAAAUUGAUACAUUUUAAACUACAGGGGGGCAAAGUAAAAACCUACGAAACUACAGAGGGGUUUUUGAAGUUUUUCCUUUUUUAAUCUUCUUUUUUUCCUAUUCUCUCUGUCCAAAUGAAACAUUUAAU
rnacentral:lncRNA from 1 species